CCAUUUUCAUAAACAAAAUG
rnacentral:snRNA from 1 species